CCUACGGGGUGCAGCAGUGAGGAAUAUUGGUCAAUGGACGAGAGUCUGAACCAGCCAAGUAGCGUGAAGGAUGACUGCCCUAUGGGUUGUAAACUUCUUUUAUAUGGGAAUAAAACGUUCCACGUGUGGGAUUUUGUAUGUACCAUAUGAAUAAGGAUCGGCUAACUCCGUGCCAGCAGCCGCGGUAAUACGGAGGAUCCGAGCGUUAUCCGGAUUUAUUGGGUUUAAAGGGGGCGUAGGUGGAUUGUUAAGUCAGUUGUGAAAGUUUGCGGCUCAACCGUAAAAUUGCAGUUGAAACUGGCAGUCUUGAGUACAGUAGAGGUGGGCGGAAUUCGUGGUGUAGCGGUGAAAUGCUUAGAUAUCACGAAGAACUCCGAUUGCGAAGGCAGUUCACUGGACUGCAACUGACACUGAGGCUCGAAAGUGUGGGUAUCAAACAGGAUUAGAUACCCGAGUAGUC
rnacentral:rRNA from 1 species